rnacentral:rRNA from 1 species
AAUUGGAGGGCAAGUCUGGUGCCAGCAGCCGCGGUAAUUCCAGCUCCAAUAGCGUAUAUUAAAGUUGUUGCAGUCAAAAAGCUCGUAGUUGAAUUUCGGGAUCAAUAUUUCGGUCAUGCCGUUGGUAUGCACUGUUAUAAUUGAUUUCUCACCUUCUAAAGAACCGUAAUGCCAUUAAUUUGGUGUUACGGGGAAUUAGGACUGUUACCUUGAAAAAAUUAGAGUGUUUAAAGCAGGCUCACGCUUGAAUACAUUAGCAUGGAAUAAUGAAAUAGGACAUCCGAUUCUAUUUUGUUGGUUUCUAGGAUCGAUGUAAUGAUUAAUAGGGAUAGUUGGGGGCAUUAGUAUUCAAUUGUCAGAGGUGAAAUUCUUGGAUUUAUUGAAGACUAACUACUGCGAAAGCAUUUGCCAAGGAUGUUUUCAUUAAUCAAGAACGAAAGUUAGGGGAUCGAAGACGAUCAGAUACCGUCGUAGUCUUAACCAUAAACUAUGCCGACUAGGGAUCGGAUGAUGUUAAUUUUUUAAUGACUCAUUCGGCGCCUUACGGGAAACCAAAGUGU